AUUGAACGCUGGCGGCAGGCUUAACACAUGCAAGUCGAGCGGAGAUGAGGUGCUUGCACCUUAUCUUAGCGGCGGACGGGUGAGUAAUGCUUAGGAAUCUGCCUAUUAGUGGGGGACAACAUUCCGAAAGGAAUGCUAAUACCGCAUACGUCCUACGGGAGAAAGCAGGGGACCUUCGGGCCUUGCGCUAAUAGAUGAGCCUAAGUCGGAUUAGCUAGUUGGUGGGAUAAAGGCCUACCAAGGCGACGACCUGUAGCGGGUCUGAGAGGAUGAUCCGCCACACUGGGACUGAGACACAGCACAGACUCCUACGGGAGGCAGCAGUGGGGAAUAUUGGACGAUGGGCGGAGGCCUGAUCCAGCCAUGCCGCGUGUGUGAAGAAGGCCUUUUGGUUGUAAAGCACUUUAAGCGAGGAGGAGGCUACUUAGAUUAAUACUCUAGGAUAGUGGACGUUACUCGCAGAAUAAGCACCGGCUAACUCUGUGCCAGCCGCCGCAGUAAAAC
rnacentral:rRNA from 1 species